UAUUAGCCUUUUAUUAUAUAAGAAGAUUGGACCGAUAGAGAUUAGCAUGGUCCCUGUGCAAGGAUGACACACAAAUUCGUGAAGCACUCCCCCCCCCC
rnacentral:snRNA from 1 species